AAUAUUUUGUAAAUAUAAAAAUAAUCAUUAUAAAAUUGAACGGUUAUAUCAAAGAACGAAUUAUUAGAAGAAAAAAUUGCUAAGCAAUUAAAAAAAUAAAAAAGAGUUACAAGCUAGU